rnacentral:tRNA from 1 species
GGCUGUGUGGUCUAGUGGUAUGAUUCGCGCUUCGGGUGCGCGAGGUCCCGGGUUCGCCUCUCGGCUCAGCCC